rnacentral:rRNA from 1 species
CCCUAUGGGGUGCAGCAGGAUUGUCAACGCCCUUUACCGGGAAACUAAAAUGCUCGACAGACCCCAAUGGAUAGCCAUAACUGCCGAUUAUUCGACGGAUACCAUCGUCCAGUCGCUGGACCGACGCGCUGUCAAAUGGAAUAAGCCGAUGCAAAUAGCUGAUAACCUUGGACAAGGUUUCGUUAAAGUCGAGACUCUGAUUUAUACUGAUGAGAAGCUCUUUGAGCGAUUCAAUCUCCACCAGGCGCUCUCGAAUUUCGUCUCGGGCGGCUAUGAGCUCAGUGAUAUUUGUGUCGUGGAUGGAGAUGACCUGAGGCUGUUUUUGUUCGUCACGUUCGAUGACUUGGAUGGUUAGUUCCAGCCAAGCAAUAGUGUCGCUUGGAGUGACGACGCGGAACUCGCCCUGUGCCUUGUCGGUCUCCCCGGACUUGAGC